GUGGGGAAUAUUGGGCAAUGGGGGAAACCCUGACCCAGCAACGCCGCGUGAGGGAAGAAGGCCUAACGGUUGUAAACCUCUGUCAUAUGGGAAGAAGGAAUGACAGUACCAUAUGAGGAAGCUCCGGCUAACUACGUGCCAGCAGCCGCGGUAAUACGUAGGGAGCAAGCGUUGUCCGGAAUUACUGGGCGUAAAGGGUGCGUAGGCGGCAUGUUAAGUUAGAUGUCAAAUACCCGGGCUUAACCCGGGGACGCAUCUAAAACUGGCGUGCUUGAGUGCAGGAGAGGAAAGCGGAAUGCCUAGUGUAGCGGUGGAAUGCGUAGAUAUUAGGAGGAACACCAGUGGCGAAGGCGGCUUUCUGGACUGUAACUGACGCUGAAGCACGAAAGCGUGGGGAGCAAACAGGAUUAGAAACCCCUGUAGUCC
rnacentral:rRNA from 1 species